AAAUAGAACUUUGCAGAGAGAGUUAAGAGGGCGUGAAACCGUUAAUUGGCAAACGAAUCGGAGCCGCGAAGUCGUUUCGUCGAGCUAGGUCGGGUUCAGCUUGCAACCUUCGGGUUGCUGGCGUAUUCUCGUGCCAAGCCAAUGUAAGCGUACACUGCAACCAGUUAGACAAUUGUCCAUGGAACCAGUUGAUCUUGGAUGCGCAAGCAUCUAAGUUUAGCGAACGGUUUGUUUGGUCAGGUUAGUAGUAGUGUGCUGUGGACUUGUCCUCAGUGUGCUGCUGGAUCUGUUGCCAAGUGACCUAUGGGCAAAUACUGACUGGCAAAAUGAAAAUCGCGCGCAAGCGUGUGCACAAAUUGCGCCUUGUUGUAUGAUAGGCUACACAAUCCACCGUGGAUAUAUUAAAGUUCGGUGCUUUUGAAUUUGGACUUGCUAGCUACCAAUGGGGCAACUCUUGGUGCUAGUAUAGCUUCCAUCUAAUCGGGUGCUGGCUUGUAUUCACGUCGUUGUGGUUGUGCUACGAUCGGUCUACAUAUAAGCGAGUGCGUGAAAAUUGGCAGUGAGUAGGUCGGCUUUCCGAACGA
rnacentral:rRNA from 1 species